UCAAAACCUCCAUUUUCCUCAUAUGUUAUUACUUUUAGUAAAAGGUUUGAUUUAAGGGAUAGAGUCUGAAUCACUGGCCAAAAUAACAUUUUUGAGUUUUCUGAGAGAUUAAUCUACCUAUUUUUUAGAUAAUUUCUGUUCCUGCUCUUAUAAUGAAUAAGUGGUAGUCAUCUGCUUGAAAUGCCCUCAUUUAAAAGAGUGAUUUUAACCAACAUUGCAUGAGGAAAUGAUAUUUCUAAAUAAAUCAUUUUGAAUCUUGUUUCCUUCCUUAAUUUUUAGGGGCACUGAGAAGAUUUGGCUAGAUGAAACUCAUUAAGAUCCUACAGAGAAGGAGCCCGAGUAUGAAGUAUUUGGCAUUAGGCAUCUGCUGGUUGGAAGGAAGGAGAGCUGCACUGCAACUGGGAGAAUUGUGAGACUCCAGAGGCAGUAACAACCCAAGGGAUCACACAAAGAUAAUUUCGUUCCAUUACAUCAGAGAUUGCUGCAAACGGAACCAGGCAAUGCCCAAUGUGUCCUGCAAGAGGCCCAAGAGAGAAGGAAAAGAAGAUGGAGAAUCAAAAAGAAAAAGAAAGGAAGA